CUCAAUAGAAGCAAAAGGCAGCGUUUCUUGACAGUUUUCACACUUGACAGACCGAUAUAGACAUUCUUCCUCCAAGUGUUUUGCCAAAAGAUAACGUUUAACUUUUGUGGGACAUUGGGUGUGAACACAUAUUAUCACGGUGUGAUCACAUAAGUUGAUAUGAGCCUGUAAGAGAAACGGAAUGUUAUUAACAUGCAGUCAUAGGACAAACAUGAAUAUAUGCUGAAAUUGUAGAACAAUUUUGUAACAAUUGUCGUACUGACGCAAGCAAAUGACUGCUAACCCCACUUUUCU
rnacentral:lncRNA from 1 species